ACUUACAAAGUUAGACUUUGUCGUAACGUAAAUCAAAUUUACGCUGUAUUAUUCAUUACCAAGGAUUUAGAAAGGAACGAGAACAAUUAUUUACAAAAUCUCGCUGGGAUAAAUUCCGUGAAUGUGCCCAUGAAUGGCUAAAACUUGAUGGGCGAGCGAAAUGGAUAGCUGAACAGGCGACUUCGGGUGAUAUAAUCAAACAAGGAAUUUAUCGACGCGCCAAAAGAUACUGGAUUUCACCCAACAUGCUACAGGCCUUUUACAGACAAAUUCCGAAUUGGGUCUGCCCGUAAUCGUAUAGAUAAAGAAAAAUUAAAAUCCCCGGCUACAAUCCAACCAGGGAAUAGCGGGAGUGUAGACGAUCUGGGACCUAGCUCUCCAAACAAAUUACGCUCCUGAAGCAAAAAGAAAGAGUAAAUCGGUGCUGCCUGUUGUUUGUAUUAUAUGUAAAAAACGUGACAGAUUUGUCACUGUUGGAGAAAAUAGGAAGAAGGAUGUAUUAACACAGACUCAGACCCAAACAGGCUCAGGCCAACUGUUGAAAGCUGCUGAAUUGAAAGAGGAUGAAGAUAUUUUAAGGCAUAUCAGAGGGCAAGAUUGUGUGGCCAUUGAGGUCAGAUAUCACCAAAAAUGUUAUAGGCAAUAUACAUGUACUGAAUUUCUUAGACAGUUAUCAGAAAGCAAAGAUGACUAGCCCUCCGUCGAAUAUUAAACCACAUACAAUAUAUUCUGUGAAGAUGUCAUAAGAGAAAGAAUCAUAAAUGGCCAGCAAAGUUGUCUUGUACAGAGAGAGAGAGAGAGAGAAAUGGGGUUUAACGUCCACUCAAUACAAACUAGGUCAUUUUGGGACUAACAUACGGUUUCAAUUUUAUUUCAAUAAUUCGCUUGCGCGUAUGGGUCUUUAGCAGUGAGAGGAAACCGGAGGAAACCCACGAGGUUGAGAAGACGCCUCUAUCUCCAUGCCACAUACGCUCACACCUGGGAUCAAAGCCACAGCCACAAGCCAGAGGUGACCGACCAGCUAGAGGUCGAAGCGCGGCACUCUAGGCCAUCCCAACCCCCCUUUCUUGUACAGACCUGUGCAUGUGUAGUCAAUGUGAAAAUGAAAAAAAAACUGUUAAAGAGACCGAAUUUGAUGUUAAUACAUUUAGUGACAGUGAUGAUGAUAAUGAAGAUUAACUUUGAUGACAUUUGAUGUGCAGAGUAACUGUUUAAUUUUGAUUUUCAAUGAUUGUUUCACUUUA